CCGCUCGGAACCAGACUGCUGCCCUGGCUGUUUUUCGCCGUCGCGCGCACAUCGAGGGUGACUCAACACGGCAUUUCGUCCCGUCACGCUUCUCCUCAAAGCUCCGGGCUUACAUGGUGUCCAAGACCUCGCCACUGCCUCCGGGACCCGGAGAGACGCAGGAGUGGAGCAGACUGAGCAGAGGGAAAGGAGUAAACAUGGUAAGAAAAAGGAAAGACAUCCAAUGGAGGAAAGGCAGGAGAACAAUGCUAAUCAAUUCUUGAAAUCCCAAAGCUACAAAAUGUUCUUAUUCAUAAAAGCUUUUAAAACUUUAAAAACCAAAAGUACAGUAGAAACAUUCAUUGAUACAAGGCCAUUUUGAGUUGGGGAUUAUUGUACAAUGUGUGAUUUACAGUGCUCGUAUGAAAGCGGCAGGUUUCCAUAAACGGCCCCUCUGAUUAUUAUCAUCAUCAUCAUCAUUAAUAAUAUACCUCAACUAUCUUUUGGAGGAAGUCUUUUUGUAAUAAAGAAAUUGCCACAUAGGCUGGCGCUGUGCUUAAACCUCUUGUGAAGUCUGCUGCUGCUUAAUGCAGGUGGUAGACGGAGAGAAAUGGAAAAAAAAGAAGCCACAAAGACGGACUCUGAACCCGUGACUGGUGAGUGCAAU